CAAGUGGAGCUUCCUCAGCCUUUUUGCUGUGGAGCUGCCUCAUGAUUCAUCUGUAAACCCAACCAGACAGGACUGUCCAACAUUUGGACUGAACAAAGGCAGCAGUGAUCAUCUUUAUACUUAGUAAUAGGAAAGCAUAAUUUGUUUCUUGUUUUUCUUGUUUUUUGAUUUGAAAUACUUAGGAACAGAAGUUCUAAUAUUUUCUGUCUGCACUCCAAGGGAUUGGUUCAGAUGCUCCUGCAUUGGAGACCACAGGAAUGAACCCUGUCACCAAUAUGAGAACUACCUCAGGCUAGCCUGCUGGAAGAUAAGAAACAACAUGGACCAGAGCCAAGUCAUCCUAGCCAAGGCUAUCCUAGACCAACCAACACAGCCACAUUCUCAGCUGAUCACAGAUGCAUGAG
rnacentral:lncRNA from 10 species